rnacentral:rRNA from 1 species
AGGACGAACGCUGGCGGCGUGCUUAACACAUGCAAGUCGAACGGUGAAGGAGAGCUUGCUCUCCGGAUCAGUGGCGAACGGGUGAGUAACACGUGAGUAACCUGCCCUUGACUCUGGGAUAAGCGUUGGAAACGACGUCUAAUACCGGAUACGAGCUUCAGCCGCAUGGCUAGGAGCUGGAAAGAAUUUCGGUCAAGGAUGGACUCGCGGCCUAUCAGCUAGUUGGUGAGGUAAUGGCUCACCAAGGCGACGACGGGUAGCCGGCCUGAGAGGGUGACCGGCCACACUGGACUGAGACACGG